AGGUGGUGGUGGUGGUGGUUCCAG
rnacentral:siRNA from 1 species